CGGGAAGUAGCUCAGCUUGGCAGAGCACUUGGUUUGGGACCAAGGGGUCGCAGGUUCGAAUCCUGUCUUCCCGA
rnacentral:tRNA from 8 species